rnacentral:pre_miRNA from 1 species
UUUGUGAGGGGGAGGUCCCUCAGCCCAGAUGGAGAGAGGGUGCAGGCCAGGCCAAGGGACCCCACCGGUGCACA